GAGUUAAUAUUAAUGUGGAUUUAUAUAUAAUAUAAUUAGGUGAAAUUUUAAUAUUAUAUAAGUUUAAUUAGAGUCUCUUAAAAUUAAUUUAUAAACUGGGAUUAGAUACCCCAUUAUUUUAAAAGUUAAAAAUGUCUAGGGUAGUAAUAGUUAUUUUCUUCAAACCUAUAGAAUUUGGCGGUGUUUUAGUCUAUUUAGAGGAAUUUGUCUAGUAAUCGAUAGUCCUCGUUAUAUCUUACUUAUAUUUGUUUGCAGUAUGUAUAUCUCCGUUAUAAGUUUAUUUUUUUAGGAUAUAAACUUGAUAAUUAUUAUUAUUAUUUCA
rnacentral:rRNA from 1 species